GGGCAUGUGGUCUAGUGGUAUGACAUUCGCUUAGCAAAUAAUCUGAUGAUUUCAUAUUGUUGGUGUCAUUUGCGAAAGGUCCUGGGUUCAAUUCCCAGCUUGUCCA
rnacentral:tRNA from 1 species